UACGUAGGCAGCGAGCGUUGUUCGGAAUUACUGGGCGUAAAGAGUGUGUAGGCGGUGUUCCCAGUCUGUUGUGAAAUCUCCCGGCUUAACUGGGAGGGUGCAGCGGAAACUAGAAUGCUAGAGGGUGGGAGAGGUAAGCGGAAUUCCUGGUGUAGCGGUGAAAUGCGUAGAUAUCAGGAGGAAGACCAGUGGCGAAGGCGGAUCUCUGGACAAAUCCUGACGCUGAGGCGCGAAGGCUAGGGGAGCAAACGGG
rnacentral:rRNA from 1 species